ACUGUCAGGGCGCGAGCGGCGGGAGCGCACGCAGGGCUGGAGCGAGUGCAGCCGCCGCCGCCGCCGACACCGCGGCACAUGGGCCGGCCCGGCCGCUGCCGUCGCCCCUAGCCCCAGCAGCCCUGGUCUCGCAGCCUCCUGCGGCUCUGGUCGCCCGACCAGCCAUGUCUCUCGGCGGAGCCUCCGAGCGCAGCGUCCCGGCCACCAAGAUUGAAAUUACCGUGUCCUGCCGGAACCUGCUAGACCUUGAUACCUUCUUCAAGUCCGACCCCAGUAGGCGACUCCAGGACCGGGAGGGGGAACUUGGGGUCUGGGCGCGACUCAGGGGCGGGUGGAGUCGGGGCCAGGGGUGCGAGCCGACCUGACGUCCUUCCCUCCCCGCCCCCACCUGCAGUGGUGGUGCUUUACACGCAGAGCCGGGCCAGCCAGGAGUGGCGGGAGUUCGGACGGACCGAGGUGAUUGAUAACACGCUGAACCCAGACUUCGUGCGCAAAUUCGUCCUCGACUAUUUCUUUGAGGAAAAGCAAAAUCUGCGCUUCGAUGUGUGAGGCCCCGCCUGGAAUUCUGGCUUGGCCCGCCCCCG
rnacentral:sRNA from 1 species